CUGGAAGAGUUCAAACAGCUUUUCACCAUCUGCUACAGCCGUCCAGACAGCCAGCUGAGGGCCACCGAGGAGGCCACAGCUGGACACUGGGAAACGGUCCUUACGCUGGUCCGCGAUGGUAAGGCAGAUCUGUCCUUUGAAGACCUGCUCGCCUUCAUCACUGGAGAUGAUCAUCUGCCUCCCCUCGGUUUCCCCAAAUUGAUCUCCCUAUGUUUUUACUCCCAGGAUCCUAGCAUAUCAGGUGAGCGGCUCCCUCACUCCUCCACCUGCACUCUCGAGCUCUUCCUGCCGAGAGGAGCAGCAGGGGCUGCAGACCUGUUGGCGCUGCUAAGCAGAGCCCUGC